GAUUUCUGGCUUCUAUUCGGCUUGGCCCGCCACGGUUACGUGUGUGAGUGCUUUGGCUGAGAGGCCAUCUGCUGUAUGGGCUGGCUGGCUGGAUUAGCACUUGAUUGUGUUGGUCAUUGGUCAACUAGUACUCCAAACUAUACAGCCCUUUACUUUGAACAAAUUAGAGUGUUUCAAGCAAGCUACUAUUGCUAUGAAUACAUUAGCAUGGAAUAAUCCGAUAGGACUUCGGUCUUAUUUUGUUGGUUUUAUCAUGGGGACUGAAGUAAUGAUUGAUAGGGAUAGUUGGGGGUGCUAGUAUUCAGAGGCCAGAGGUGAAAUUCUUGGAUUCUCUGAAGACUCCCUUAUGCGAAAGCAUU
rnacentral:rRNA from 1 species